UAGUCCACGCCCUAAACGAUGCACAUUUGGUAUCGGCUUGUUGGAGUCGGUGCCGGAGCUAACGCGUUAAGUAGACCGCCUGGGGAGUACGGUCGCAAGAUUAAAACUCAAAUGAAUUGACGGGGGCCCGCACAAGCGGUGGAGCAUGUGGUUUAAUUCGAUGCAACGCGAAGAACCUUACCUACUCUUGACAUCCAGAGAAGCCUGAAGAGAUUCGGGUGUGCCUUCGGGAACUCUGAGACAGGUGCUGCAUGGCUGUCGUCAGCUCGUGUUGUGAAAUGUUGGGUUAAGUCCCGCAACGAGCGCAACCCUUAUCCUUGUUUGCCAGCACAUAAUGGUGGGAACUCCAGGGAGACUGCCGGUGAUAAACCGGGAGGAAGGUGGGGACGACGGUCAAGUCAUCAUGGCCCUUACGAGUAGGGGCUACACACGUGCUACAAUGGCGUAUACAGAGGGCUGCCAACUCGCGAGAGUGAGCGAAUCCCAGAAA
rnacentral:rRNA from 1 species